rnacentral:rRNA from 1 species
UUCACGGCCGCGGUAUCCUAACCGUGCGAAGGUAGCAUAAUCACUUGUUCUUUAAAUAAGGACUAGUAUCAACGGCACCACGAGGGCUAUACUGUCUCCUCCCCCCCAUCGAUGAAACUGAUCUCCCCGUGAAGAAGCGGGGAUGUAUAUAUAAGACGAGAAGACCCCAUGGAGCUUUAAGCUCACCAACACCUCUGCACCCAAAUAUCUUCAUAAACCCAGAGCCCUGCUUGCUAGCUUUAGGUUGGGGUGACCGCGGAGUACAACAUAACCUCCACGAUGAAUGGGAUUAAACCCCUAAUCCAAGAGCCACUGCUCUAAGAAUCAUAAAAUUGAUAUAAAAUGAUCCGACUUUCGAUCAACGAACCAAGUUACCCUGGGGAUAACAGCGCAAUCCAUUUCAAGAGCCCCUAUCGACAAAUGGGUUUACGACCUCGAUGUUGGAUCAGGGUGUCCUAGUGGUGCAGCCGCUACUAAUGGUUCGUUUGUUCAACGAUUAAAACCCUACGUGAUCUGAUUUCAAACCGGA